rnacentral:rRNA from 1 species
AGCCAUAAGUUAACCAUUUAUGGUGGUACCUGCCCAGUGACUUAAUUGUUAAAUGGCCGCGGUAUCCUGACCGUGCUAAGGUAGCGUAAUCAUUUGGCUUUUAAAUGGAGCCAGGUAUGAAUGGAUGGACCGGGUUGAGCUGUCUCUUUAUUAUUUUAUUGAAUUUACUUUUUAGGUGAAAAAGCCUUAUUUUAUAAAAGGGACGAGAAGACCCUUAGAAUUUUUUCGAAGGUGAGGGAGUCAUAAUGUUUUUGUUGGGGUGACAGAGAGGAAUUUAUAAACCCUCUUUUUAUAUAUGCCGAUUUUAAUAAGAAAGAAUAAAUUACCUAAGGGAUAACAGCAUAAUCCUGAAAUUGGGUUUGUGACCUCGAUGUUGGACUAGGGAACUGUCAGGUUAGCCGCCUGUUAAGUGGGUUCUGUUCGAACUUAAAUUCCU